GUUGGGUAGGGGAGCGUUCUGUAAGCCUGUGAAGGUGGCCUGUGAGGGUUGCUGGAGGUAUCAGAAGUGCGAAUGCUGACAUAAGUAACGAUAAAGCGGGUGAAAAGCCCGCUCGCCGGAAGACCAAGGGUUCCUGUCCAACGUUAAUCGGGGCAGGGUGAGUCGACCCCUAAGGCGAGGCCGAAAGGCGUAGUCGAUGGGAAACGGGUUAAUAUUCCCGUACUUGGUGUUACUGCGAAGGGGGGACGGAGAAGGCUAUGUUGGCCGGGCGACGGUUGUCCCGGUUUAAGCGUGUAGGUGUGUGUUCCAGGUAAAUCCGGUUCACUUUAACACUGAGGCGUGACGACGAGGCACUACGGUGCUGAAGCAACAAAUGCCCUGCUUCCAGGAAAAGCCUCUAAGCAUCAGGUAACAUCAAAUCGUACCCCAAACCGACACAGGUGGUCAGGUAGAGAAUACCAAGGCGCUUGAGAGAACUCGGGUGAAGGAACUAGGCAAAAUGGUGCCGUAACUUCGGGAGAAGGCACGCUGACACGUAGGUGAAGUGAUUUACUCAUGGAGCUGAAGUCAGUCGAAGAUACCAGCUGGCUGCAACUGUUUAUUAAAAACACAGCACUGUGCAAACACGAAAGUGGACGUAUACGGUGUGACGCCUGCCCGGUGCCGGAAGGUUAAUUGAUGGGGUCAGCGCAAGCGAAGCUCCUGAUCGAAGCCCCGGUAAACGGCGGCCGUAACUAUAACGGUCCUAAGGUAGCGAAAUUCCUUGUCGGGUAAGUUCCGACCUGCACGAAUGGCGUAAUGAUGGCCAGGCUGUCUCCACCCGAGACUCAGUGAAAUUGAACUCGCUGUGAAGAUGCAGUGUACCCGCGGCAAGACGGAAAGACCCCGUGAACCUUUACUAUAGCUUGACACUGAACAUUGAGCCUUGAUGUGUAGGAUAGGUGGGAGGCUUUGAAG
rnacentral:rRNA from 2 species